rnacentral:rRNA from 1 species
AAUAUUGGACAAUGGGCGAAAGCCUGAUCCAGCCAGCCCGCGUGUGUGAAGAAGGUCUUCGGAUUGUAAAGCACUUUAAGUUGGGAGGAAGGGAUGUAGGUUAAUACUCCGCAAUUUUGACGUUACCAACAGAAUAAGCACCGGCGAACUUCGUGCCAGCAGCCGCGGUAAUACGAAGGGUGCAAGCGUUAAUCGGAAUUACUUUGCGUAAAGCGCGCGUAGGUGGUUCGUUAAGUUGGAAGUGAAAGCCCCGGGCUUAACCUGGGAAUUGCUUUCAAAACUGACAAGCUAGAGUACGGUAGAGGGUAGUGGAAUUUCCUGUGUAGCGGUGAAAUGCAUAGAUAUAGGAAGGAACACCAGUGGCGAAGGCGACUACCUGGACUGAUGCUGACACUGAGGUGCGAAAGCGUGGGGAGCAAACAG